rnacentral:rRNA from 1 species
GUAGUCUGCAACCCGACUACAUGAAGCUGGAAUCGCUAGUAAUCGCGGAUCAGAAUGCCGCGGUGAAUACGUUCCCGGGUCUUGUACACACCGCCCGUCCACACCAUGGGAGUCGGAAAUGCCCGAAGUCUGUGACCCAACCUUAGGGAGGGAGCAGCCGAAGGCAGGUCGGAUGACUGGGGUGAAGUCGUAACAAGGUAGC